rnacentral:lncRNA from 1 species
CCUUGCUCACUAUCUGCUGAAUGACUGCUUCUUGGUGUCUUGCCUUUCUUUCUGUUAGCCCUUGCAGCCCUAAGGUUCUGGACCCGACCAUUCCCUAACAAAUGUCCCUACCUUCCAGUGUUACCUGCUCUGGGCAUACGGCCAGAAGGACCUUCACUGGGCAGCAGAGAACAUAGGACAUAAAGCAGCUCACAGGCAUCUGAGUCUGGCCCCAAAAGCCACUCCCAGAGGAUGCUUUGCACAGCAAUAUCACUGCUGAUAAUACUUCCCCAGAGGUCACAGGAAGUUACACAGCCAGAUGCAAGGAUGGCAAUACCUAUGCCCUGUGGCUCCUGCCCAACCCUUUUCCGUCCUGAUGGAGGGGAAGGUGACAAGAAUAGGCUCAAAGGAUGACUCAGCUCCAGUGACUAAGCUGGAACCUUGUGCCCGUGAGUGCCGCUUACCUCCAGGUGUCUGUGAAAGAGCCCCAAGGAGACCCACCAUUUGCUCCACCGUGCUUGAGCCUGCAAAUGCUUUCUCCCCACCCUGCGAUGGCAGGAGGAGGCCAUGCCGGGGACUGGGAGCUUGAAGCAGGGAGCAUGACGUCCUUCUGUGUCGGCUUUGCCAAGUUAAGCGCCUCCCAGGGUGAUAAGCACUUGAGAAGGCAGGACACCAGAACCUGAAAACGGCAGUUAAAAGAAGUCUAGUUGAGCCAAACUUGAUGUUGUUUUUUUGUAACCCACCAUGUGAACUUGGGCCUGUUUCUCCAUGUGUACAACGGAAAAAAGAUGGACUUCAGAGCCAAAUGGACAGGGAUCAAAU